GGCGAAGUGAUAGGGUUAAUUGAGGAACACUUAGAGAAAGGUGAUCUGGAAAAAGUAGUUAGAGGGUUGCUUGAGUUUGACCUAAAACGGGCAGACUUUGAUUCAUCACCUUACAACAUUUGGUUGAUUGGGAUGUGUCAGGAAUGCAAGCCACACGAGGCUUUGAAGAUUUUUUCCUUACUUGUGGAGUUUGACGUCAUGGUUUCAGCCCCAAGUUGUGUAAUGUUGAUUCAUAG
rnacentral:misc_RNA from 1 species